GAAAGAGCAGAGAAGGAAUAGAACAACUUUGAGCGGUGGAUCACUCGGCUCGUGCGUCGAUGAAGAGCGCAGCCAGCUGCGUGAAUUAAUGUGAAUUGCAGAACACAUUGAACAUCG
rnacentral:rRNA from 1 species